AAUAAUUAUUCAGGAGAAAUACUUGGAUGCGAGGUCAUUGCAUAAAAUGCUAUUGGGCCUCUCUAAUAUAAAUAACAGCAAAUGAAGGAGUUUAUUGGCAGCACCAAACACAGAUGAACAUAAGAAGGAGGGACGAAUAGAAUAGAAGUAACAUCUUUGUUUCAUGGCACUCAUCAGGAGCACUACAACACGAUCGACGAUCGUGUGCCUGAUGGUUGUUGCUUUGGUGGUGUUUGCUACUAUAAGCUUUACCUUGCCAUGUUGCCAUGCUCACAUUGAAUCUACUAAAAAGGCGGUGUGCGAGACGCUGGAUGCAUGUAUCUCUGACGCUGGAUGCAAAGCUAUCUGCGAGGGUAGUGGCAUGGUUCUCUACUAUAACGCGUGUGCGGGUCGUGAUUUUCCAAUCUGUUGCUGCAUACCUAUGUAGGGGGGCGCUCUUCCGCCGUGUUGCUGCACAGAAAUAUAAAAUUUAUUGGCGGUUCUCGGCCCGAGCUAUGCAAUUCUGAAUAAUUAUAUGCUUGUAAUGCAGCUACUUAUCUCCCAUAUUUGUCUUAUACACACAAGUAUAAUGAUUAUCUUCUA